AGUCGCACGCUUCUUUUUCCCCGGAGCUUGCUCCACCGGAAAAAGAGGAGUGGCGAACGGGUGAGUAACACGUGGGUAACCUGCCCAUCAGAAGGGGAUAACACUUGGAAACAGGUGCUAAUACCGUAUAACAAUCGAAACCGCAUGGUUUUGAUUUGAAAGGCGCUUUCGGGUGUCGCUGAUGGAUGGACCCGCGGUGCAUUAGCUAGUUGGUGAGGUAACGGCUCACCAAGGCCACGAUGCAUAGCCGACCUGAGAGGGUGAUCGGCCACAUUGGGACUGAGACACGGCCCAAACUCCUACGGGAGGCAGCAGUAGGGAAUCUUCGGCAAUGGACGAAAGUCUGACCGAGCAACGCCGCGUGAGUGAAGAAGGUUUUCGGAUCGUAAAACUCUGUUGUUAGAGAAGAACAAGGAUGAGAGUAACUGUUCAUCCCUUGACGGUAUCUAACCAGAAAGCCACGGCUAACUACGUGCCAGCAGCCGCGGUAAUACGUAGGUGGCAAGCGUUGUCCGGAUUUAUUGGGCGUAAAGCGAGCGCAGGCGGUUUCUUAAGUCUGAUGUGAAAGCCCCCGGCUCAACCGGGGAGGGUCAUUGGAAACUGGGAGACUUGAGUGCAGAAGAGGAGAGUGGAAUUCCAUGUGUAGCGGUGAAAUGCGUAGAUAUAUGGAGGAACACCAGUGGCGAAGGCGGCUCUCUGGUCUGUAACUGACGCUG
rnacentral:rRNA from 1 species